rnacentral:lncRNA from 1 species
UUAGCAUUUAGGCCUAAUACAUUUCUGAUAUAUGUACAAUUUUAUAUGAUAGUCGGGUAAAUAUUGAAAUAAGAAGUUGAAAUUUACCAAAAAUGACGCAUUCUCCAGCUUCAUUGUGAAAAGAUCGCGAAGUGAAGUGUACACAGUGUGGUUUCUGUGGAUGGCCUGCGUUUCUUCAGCAGCAGCAGACUCCUCUGAGGAACUGGCCUGACUCAUCUGCAUCUGUGACAGGUUCAGGCUUCGCGGAAGGCAAAGAAGAGGAGAGCGGAGGGGAGGAAAAAUGGAGAAAGG